rnacentral:rRNA from 1 species
CCUACGGGUGGCAGCAGUGAGGAAUAUUGGUCAAUGGGCGCGAGCCUGAACCAGCCAAGUCGCGUGAGGGAAGACGGCCCUACGGGUUGUAAACCUCUUUUGCCGGGGAGCAACGGGCGCCACGUGUGGCGCCACUGAGAGUACCCGGCGACAAAGCAUCGGCUACCUCCGGGCCAGCAGCCGCGGUAAUACGUAGGAUUCGAGCGUUCUCCGGUUUUAUUGGGUUUAAGGGGUGCGUAGGCGGGGCGUUAAGUCCGUGGUAAAAUUGGGGGGCUCACCCCCGGCCCGCCAUUGAAACUGGCGAGCUGGAGUGGAAGAGAAGUAGGCGGAAUGCGUGGUGUAGCGGUGAAAUGCAUAGAUAUCACGCAGAACCCCGAUUGCGAAGGCAGCAUGCCGGCUUCCGACUGACGCUGAAGCACGAAAGCGUGGGGAUCGAACAGGAUUAGAUACCCCAGUAGUC